rnacentral:rRNA from 1 species
AACGAACGCUGGCGGCAGGCCUAACACAUGCAAGUCGAACGCCCCGCAAGGGGCGUGGCAGCCGGGUGAGUAACGCGUGGGAACCUUCCCUAUAGUACGGAAUAGCCCAGGGAAACUUGGAGUAAUACCGUAUACGCCCGAAAGGGGAAAGAAUUUCGCUAUAGGAUGGGCCCGCGUAGGAUUAGCUAGUUGGUGAGGUAAUGGCUCACCAAGGCGACGAUCCUUAGCUGGUUUGAGAGAACGACCAGCCACACUGGGACUGAGACACGGCCCAGACUCCUACGGGAGGCAGCAGUGGGGAAUAUUGGACAAUGGGCGCAAGCCUGAUCCAGCCAUGCCGCGUGAGUGAUGAAGGCCUUAGGGUUGUAAAGCUCUUUUGGCGGGGACGAUAAUGACGGUACCCGCAGAAUAAGUCCCGGCUAACUUCGUG